rnacentral:rRNA from 1 species
AGCGGCGGACGGGUGAGUAACACGUGGGUAACCUGCCCAAGAGACUGGGAUAACACCUGGAAACAGAUGCUAAUACCGGAUAACAACACUAGACGCAUGUCUAGAGUUUGAAAGAUGGUUCUGCUAUCACUCUUGGAUGGACCUGCGGUGCAUUAGCUAGUUGGUAAGGUAACGGCUUACCAAGGCAAUGAUGCAUAGCCGAGUUGAGAGACUGAUCGGCCACAUUGGGACUGAGACACGGCCCAAACUCCUACGGGAGGCAGCAGUAGGGAAUCUUCCACAAUGGACGAAAGUCUGAUGGAGCAACGCCGCGUGAGUGAAGAAGGGUUUCGGCUCGUAAAGCUCUGUUGGUAGUGAAGAAAGAUAGAGGUAGUAACUGGCCUUUAUUUGACGGUAAUUACUUAGAAAGUCACGGCUAACUACGUGCCAGCAGCCGCGGUAAUACGUAGGUGGCAAGCGUUGUCCGGAUUUAUUGGGCGUAAAGCGAGUGCAGGCGGUUCAAUAAGUCUGAUGUGAAAGCCUUCGGCUCAACCGGAGAAUUGCAUCAGAAACUGUUGAACUUGAGUGCAGAAGAGGAGAGUGGAACUCCAUGUGUAGCGGUGGAAUGCGUAGAUAUAUGGAAGAACACCAGUGGCGAAGGCGGCUCUCUGGUCUGCAACUGACGCUGAGGCUCGAAAGCAUGGGUAGCGAACAGGAUUAGAUACCCUGGUA